rnacentral:rRNA from 1 species
UAACACAUGCAAGUCGAGGGGCAGCAUUUUAGUUUGCUUGCAAACUGAAGAUGGCGACCGGCGCACGGGUGAGUAACACGUAUCCAACCUACCGAUAACUCCGGAAUAGCCUUUCGAAAGAAAGAUUAAUACCGGAUAGCAUACGAAUAUCGCAUGAUAUUUUUAUUAAAGAAUUUCGGUUAUCGAUGGGGAUGCGUUCCAUUAGUUUGUUGGCGGGGUAACGGCCCACCAAGACUACGAUGGAUAGGGGUUCUGAGAGGAAGGUCCCCCACAUUGGAACUGAGACACGGUCCAAACUCCUACGGGAGGCAGCAGUGAGGAAUAUUGGUCAAUGGGCGAGAGCCUGAACCAGCCAAGUAGCGUGAAGGAUGAAGGCUCUAUGGGUCGUAAACUUCUUUUAUAUGGGAAUAAAGUUUUCCACGUGUGGAAUUUUGUAUGUACCAUAUGAAUAAGGAUCGGCUAACUCCGUGCCAGCAGCCGCGGUAAUACGGAGGAUCCGAGCGUUAUCCGGAUUUAUUGGGUUUAAAGGGAGCGUAGGUGGAUUGUUAAGUCAGUUGUGAAAGUUUGCGGCUCAACCGUAAAAUUGCAGUUGAAACUGGCAGUCUUGAGUACAGUAGAGGUGGGCGGAAUUCGUGGUGUAGCGGUGAAAUGCUUAGAUAUCACGAAGAACUCCGAUUGCGAAGGCAGCUCACUAGACUGUCACUGACACUGAUGCUCGAAA